rnacentral:rRNA from 1 species
AACGAACGCUGGCGGCAUGCCUAACACAUGCAAGUCGAACGAGACCUUCGGGUCUUUUGGCGCACGGGUGCGUAACGCGUGGGAACCUUCCCUUAGGUUCGGAAUAACUCCCCGAAUGGGGUGCUAAUACCGGAUAAUGUCUUCGGACCAAAGAUUUAUCGCCUUUGGUUGGGCCCGCGUUCGAUUAGCUAGUUGGUAGGGUAAAAGCCUUCCAAGGCGACAAUCCAUAACUGGUCUGAGAGGAUGAGCAGCCACACUGGGACUGAGACACGGCCCAGACUCCUACGGGAGGCAGCAGUGGGGAAUAUUGUACAAUGGGCGAAAGCCUGAUCCAGCAAGGCCGCGUGAGUGAUGAAGGUCUUAGGGUUGUAAAGCUCUUUUACCCGGGAUGAUAAUGACAGUACCGGGAGAAUAAGCUCCGGCUAACUCCGUG